GUUCCUACGGGGGGCAGCAGUGGGGAAUAUUGCACAAUGGGGGAAACCCUGAUGCAGCGACGCCGCGUGAGUGAAGAAGUAAUUCGUUAUGUAAAGCUCUAUCAGCAGGGAAGAAAAUGACGGUACCUGAGUAAGAAGCCCCGGCUAACUACGUGCCAGCAGCCGCGGUAAUACGUAGGGGGCAAGCGUUAUCCGGAUUCACUGGGUGUAAAGGGAGCGUAGACGGCGACGCAAGUCUGGAGUGAAAGCCCGGGGCCCAACCCCGGGACUGCUCUGGAAACUGCGUCGCUGGAGUACGGGAGGGG
rnacentral:rRNA from 1 species